ensembl:lncRNA
GGCGCGGCGGUCGCGUGACGCAGCAAGGUCACGUGUUCCAGGUGUGGUCCGCGGCCGGUUUUCUCUGUGCGUGUGUAUGUAUGUGUGUGUGUGCGCGCGCGUGAGUCUCAUUUGUUUGGUAGCGCGUCCAGUCACGGAGAGGAUCCCCGAUCAUGUCUUUCGACCUGUCUGCAGCUGUUGGUGGGAGUGAAGAUGUGGUGAAGAAGGAAGAAGCUCAGAAGGAUGAGAUCUCAUGGCCCUGGAACAAGAACAAGGAUAAGGAGGGCAGCAAGGGAAAGUCCGGCAAAGACGACAAAAAGCACGAAUCUGGCAAGGACAAGUCCGACAAGAAGCACGAAUCUGGCAAGGACAAGUCCGACAAGAAGCACGAAUCUGGCAAGGACAAGUCCGACAAGAAGCACGAAUCUGGGAAGGACAAGUCCGACAAGAAGCACGAAUCUGGGAAGGACAAGUCCGACCAAAAGCACAAGUCAAAGGACGGGGAACACAAGAAGAAAAGGGACAAAGGUGAAGGAAACCAAUCUGGCUCUUCCUCAUCGUCGUCCUCCAGCAGUGACGAGGAGUGAUGCUUCCAGCGCCGAUGGUCUCUUCUAACCUCGUCUGUGAAGCAAAGUGACUGUGUGCAGUUGUACCGACGUUCCUUCCUCUUGUUGAUGUAUAAAUAAACCUGAUUGAACGCUGCUUCUCGCCAUAAACUUCCUGUGUUGCUUAAAGUGUGUUUAUUCCACCACAGCGGCGUGAAAAACCCUCACCAAGGUCGCUGUUUGUCGCUGCACGCGUUUAUAAUUGUCCGGAUCGUGUUGAGAUAACCCCCCCAAAAAAUGAGUAGUCUGUCUUUAGAAAAUGUACAUGAAUAAAUCAGUUAAAAAAAAAUGAUUAGAAAGCUACAAAACUUCAGAACAGUCGUCAUGCUGCGGACGACGUUUCAUCUCCACCUGUAGGCGUGUGUUCUGAGCAACGCGUGGAUCCUCAUCCUGCUCCAACGUUUGUCUGUUAAAAGGAACAGGAUGCUGCUGUCAGGCCCGACGGCAUUUUGCCCUCAAGAGAAAAUAAUUAAAGUGGACAUGUUUUUGUUCCAAAGCAAACAUGUUGUAUAAUGUGAACGUUCAGUCCCAGCCUUCUCCAGGGUGGAGUAGGAGUAGCAUUCUACCCCUCAUAACCGUAACACUACACUGGGUGAACGCUCAAGGGGAGCGGCGGUUUGGGGGGCGGGGUUAGGCUUGAAUCACAUGCUUGAGGUGUGGCUAAUCCAGGUACUUAAGUUUGAGUCCGUGUGGUCACUGUGGUUUGUGAACAGGAGACACGAUGGAUCGCGCAGGUAAAAAGGACAAGGGAGAGUCCAAGGGGAAGAAGGACGACAAAGCGUCCAAGGAGAAGGGCGGCAAAGACAAAAAGAAGGACGAGGAGAAGAAGAAGAAGAAGGCGAAGCCUGAAGGGAAAGGCUCCGGCUCCUCAUCUUCAGACUCUGACGAGAAGUGAUGUUGAGGCGGGAAGGACAUCUCGUCUCUCGCGAUCACGUCCACAAACAAAAUGAGUCCUGAGUAGCGCCAAAAGUGUCGUGCUUGUGUGAACAGACAUGCUGAUUCUGUCAAAAUAAAGUUCAUUUUCUCACCACAAGAUUGCAGUGUUUUAUUCAUUUUUAAGAUUUAUAAUUGAAGAUCUGGAAGCUGGCUGGGAUCGACUCCCGUCCCCCAGUGUGCAGGAUGGGCCGUUUGACGAUGGAUGAUUGAAGAGUACGAGCGAUGUUUCAUAAUACAUUUGAACUGUUAUGGUGUCAAUAUAAAACUCACGUAAGUGUCGGAGUAAAACAGUUUUCCCGUCGUAAACGUAAUGCAGUAAAGUCCAACGCUGUGUAAGGUGGGAAUACUCAAGUACAGUAGUUUUAUUAUUAAAAACUGCAAGUUACAGUGUCUCCUUGUAAUAAGGUGAGUAAACGUGGGACUAAAAAUACCGUUAACUUGUCAGUUUUGUCUUUAGAAAGUUUGUUAAAAACAACGGAUGACCGAAAGCAAAAAAACAAAGCAAUAAAUCAUAAUUCUCACGAGCCGUGAAAAAAAAAAAGGCCCGAUGAAUUGUGACCAAAAAGAAAAAAAGCAGCAACAGCAAAUGCAAUGAACAUUACAUUGCAGCUCCAUGUGACCAGAAGCUCCAUAAAAAC